rnacentral:misc_RNA from 1 species
GAGUUUGAUGAAGUAUUAGAGGUAUGCAUGUGAGAUAACUAAUGUUUUCCUUCGAUUUUCUGCGUCUGUUGCUGACACAAUCACUUGAUUGAUUGAUAUUGAUUGCACUUGUUUUUAAUUGUUUGCCUUCCUAAUAGCUCAUAUUUCAACUUCCCUUUUUUUUAAGUUUAGUACAUUAUUUUCCCGCUUUCUUCCUGGCAAACUGUUUUAUAUGAUAUUGGAUGCAACACAUUCUUUUUAACUAUUUGUAUCAAUGCAAAAAUGAGAACCAUUUUGAAUUUCUUAUCCUGUGAAGCACAAAUAUUUGAUUUAAUCUGAAUGUGACAAUUGCAAACUAAGAAAAAUCAUGUAAUUUAAAGUGAAAAUAUUGCAUUUUGAAAUAAAACACAACACAGCUCCUAUUGUUGGAGUUGAUCAAAAUAUUUGAUUUGCUUGUAUCAGGUACAAAGGAAACAUGUGUAUG